AUAGAGUCAAGUGAAUAAGUGCAUCAGGCGGAUGCCUUGGCGAUGAUAGGCGACGAAGGACGUGUAAGCCUGCGAAAAGCGCGGGGGAGCUGGCAAUAAAGCUAUGAUUCCGCGAUGUCCGAAUGGGGAAACCCACUGCAUUCUGUGCAGUAUCCUAAGUUGAAUACAUAGGCUUAGAGAAGCGAACCCGGAGAACUGAACCAUCUAAGUACCCGGAGGAAAAGAAAUCAACCGAGAUUCCGCAAGUAGUGGCGAGCGAACGCGGAGGAGCCUGUACGUAAUAACUGUCGAGAUAGAAGAACAAGCUGGGAAGCUUGACCAUAGCGGGCGACAGUCCCGUAUUCGAAAUCUCAACAGCGGUACUAAGCGUACGAAAAGUAGGGCGGGACACGUGAAAUCCUGUCUGAAUAUGGGGGGACCAUCCUCCAAGGCUAAAUACUCAUCAUCGACCGAUAGUGAACCAGUACCGUGAGGGAAAGGCGAAAAGAACCCCGGGAGGGGAGUGAAACAGAACCUGAAACCUGAUGCAUACAAACAGUGGGAGCGCCCUAGUGGUGUGACUGCGUACCUUUUGUAUAAUGGGUCAACGACUUACAUUCAGUAGCGAGCUUAACCGGAUAGGGGAGGCGUAGGGAAACCGAGUCUUAAUAGGGCGAUGAGUUGCUGGGUGUAGACCCGAAACCGAGUGAUCUAUCCAUGGCCAGGUUGAAGGUGCCGUAACAGGUACUGGAGGACCGAACCCACGCAUGUUGCAAAAUGCGGGGAUGAGCUGUGGGUAGGGGUGAAAGGCUAAACAAACUCGGAGAUAGCUGGUUCUCCCCGAAAACUAUUUAGGUAGUGCCUCGAGCAAGACACUGAUGGGGGUAAAGCACUGUUAUGGCUAGGGGGUUAUUGCAACUUACCAACCCAUGGCAAACUCAGAAUACCAUCAAGUGGUUCCUCGGGAGACAGACAGCGGGUGCUAACGUCCGUUGUCAAGAGGGAAACAACCCAGACCGCCGGCUAAGGUCCCAAAUGAUAGAUUAAGUGGUAAACGAAGUGGGAAGGCACAGACAGCCAGGAUGUUGGCUUAGAAGCAGCCAUCAUUUAAAGAAAGCGUAAUAGCUCACUGGUCGAGUCGUCCUGCGCGGAAGAUGUAACGGGGCUCAAAUCUAUAACCGAAGCUGCGGAUGCCGGUUUACCGGCAUGGUAGGGGAGCGUUCUGUAGGCUGAUGAAGGUGCAUUGUAAAGUGUGCUGGAGGUAUCAGAAGUGCGAAUGUUGACAUGAGUAGCGAUAAAGCGGGUGAAAAGCCCGCUCGCCGAAAGCCCAAGGUUUCCUACGCAACGUUCAUCGGCGUAGGGUAAGUCGGCCCCUAAGGCGAGGCAGAAAUGCGUAGUCGAUGGGAAACAGGUUAAUAUUCCUGUACUUGAUUCAAAUGCGAUGUGGGGACGGAGAAGGUUAGGUUGGCAAGCUGUUGGAAUAGCUUGUUUAAGCCGGUAGGUGGAAGACUUAGGCAAAUCCGGGUUUUCUUAACACCGAGAAGUGAUGACGAGUGUCUACGGACACGAAGCAACCGAUACCACGCUUCCAGGAAAAGCCACUAAGCUUCAGUUUGAAUCGAACCGUACCGCAAACCGACACAGGUGGGCAGGAUGAGAAUUCUAAGGCGCUUGAGAGAACUCGGGAGAAGGAACUCGGCAAAUUGAUACCGUAACUUCGGGAGAAGGUAUGCCCUCUAAGGUUAAGGACUUGCUCCGUAAGCCCCGGAGGGUCGCAGAGAAUAGGUGGCUGCGACUGUUUAUUAAAAACACAGCACUCUGCCAACACGAAAGUGGACGUAUAGGGUGUGACGCCUGCCCGGUGCCGGAAGGUUAAUUGAAGAUGUGCAAGCAUCGGAUCGAAGCCCCGGUAAACGGCGGCCGUAACUAUAACGGUCCUAAGGUAGCGAAAUUCCUUGUCGGGUAAGUUCCGACCCGCACGAAUGGCGUAACGAUGACCACACUGUCUCCUCCCGAGACUCAGCGAAGUUGAAGUGGUUGUGAAGAUGCAAUCUACCCGCUGCUAGACGGAAAGACCCCGUGAACCUUUACUGUAGCUUUGCAUUGGACUUUGAAGUCACUUGUGUAGGAUAGGUGGGAGGCUUGGAAGCAGAGACGCCAGUCUCUGUGGAGUCGUCCUUGAAAUACCACCCUGGUGUCUUUGAGGUUCUAACCCAGACCCGUCAUCCGGGUCGGGGACCGUGCAUGGUAGGCAGUUUGACUGGGGCGGUCUCCUCCCAAAGCGUAACGGAGGAGUUCGAAGGUUACCUAGGUCCGGUCGGAAAUCGGACUGAUAGUGCAAUGGCAAAAGGUAGCUUAACUGCGAGACCGACAAGUCGGGCAGGUGCGAAAGCAGGACAUAGUGAUCCGGUGGUUCUGUAUGGAAGGGCCAUCGCUCAACGGAUAAAAGGUACUCCGGGGAUAACAGGCUGAUUCCGCCCAAGAGUUCAUAUCGACGGCGGAGUUUGGCACCUCGAUGUCGGCUCAUCACAUCCUGGGGCUGUAGUCGGUCCCAAGGGUAUGGCUGUUCGCCAUUUAAAGUGGUACGUGAGCUGGGUUUAAAACGUCGUGAGACAGUUUGGUCCCUAUCUGCAGUGGGCGUUGGAAGUUUGACGGGGGCUGCUCCUAGUACGAGAGGACCGGAGUGGACGAACCUCUGGUGUACCGGUUGUAACGCCAGUUGCAUAGCCGGGUAGCUAAGUUCGGAAGAGAUAAGCGCUGAAAGCAUCUAAGCGCGAAACUCGCCUGAAGAUGAGACUUCCCUUGCGGUUUAACCGCACUAAAGGGUCGUUCGAGACCAGGACGUUGAUAGGUGGGGUGUGGAAGCGCGGUAACGCGUGAAGCUAACCCAUACUAAUUGCCCGUGAGGCUUGACUCUAU
rnacentral:rRNA from 1 species